GUGGGGAAUUUUGGACAAUGGGCGCAAGCCUGAUCCAGCAAUGCCGCGUGCAGGAAGAAGGCCUUCGGGUUGUAAACUGCUUUUGUACGGAACGAAACGGCUCUGGUUAAUACCUGGGGCUAAUGACGGUACCGUAAGAAUAAGCACCGGCUAACUACGUGCCAGCAGCCGCGGUAAUACGUAGGGUGCAAGCGUUAAUCGGAAUUACUGGGCGUAAAGCGUGCGCAGGCGGUUUUGUAAGACAGGCGUGAAAUCCCCGGGCUCAAUCUGGGAAUGGCGCUUGUGACUGCAAGGCUGGAGUGCGGCAGAGGGGGAUGGAAUUCCGCGUGUAGCAGUGAAAUGCGUAGAUAUGCGGAGGAACACCGAUGGCGAAGGCAAUCCCCUGGGCCUGCACUGACGCUCAUGCACGAAAGCGUGGGGAGCAAACAGGAUUAGAUACCCCAGUAGUCC
rnacentral:rRNA from 1 species